GAUGCCCUUUGUCAUGCGGAUGAACUCCUCGGGUGUGGUGGACUUGUCUGGGAUGUCCUUGGACUGGAACACCUGACAUGAUGGAGACCCACAGACACAGACACUGAUAAGAGCUGUGAGAAACCUGCAGGGGCUGAGAGGGAAGGAGGAGGAAAGGAGCUGGACAGAUAAUAAAGGAAAAAGAACAAAAAGCUCCCCUGUUAUGUUCAGAAUAAUAGACAUAGAUAUCCCUGACCCUGUUUUCAGAGAGGCUGUGUCUUAUCAGUUGACUCUCAAAAGACCGUAAAGAAGAGCUUCGGCCUGUGAGGCGCUCUUACUGUCAGCUCCUGCUUGAUGCACUCAAUGGUGGCCUCCAGUGCCCUGGUCCCGCGAGUCGCUUCAUCUUCCACUGCCUUCACUGUUUUUAGAAGAGACGUCACGUUGGUCACCAUGACCUGUCAAAUGAAGGGAGACGUGAUGAGGCUCACAGUCAGACCAGGAGGUGGAGCUCUUUCUCCUCAGCUGCAAAACAUUACAUUGCCAAAUUCCUUUGGCCUCCUCCUUCACUGAUUCUAUUAAAGUGAGUAAUGGUUCCAUGUGUUAAAGGUGCUUUUCUAAUGAAAAUGAAAGAUAAGCUGCUGAAGAAAGAGAAGACUGAGGGAUGUAUUUCAAAUUAAAUCAGGAUGAUUUACUACUUGUAAUACAGUUAAUUCACUGACACCUAGAACAAUUCAAGUUUUAUUCAUGGUGAUACAUUUUGUUUUGCCAGUACUGCAUUCAGCACAGUGUACAUUAUUAGGUUAGGAAUUCAAGCAACAUGAUCGCUAGGAGUUUGAGAGGGUCCCAUUUGGAGGUCACCAUAUGUUGGAGGAACAGAGACAAUCUGUCAGCAUAACCAGGUCCAUGGGUGGCCCUAAUUCCAUUUAGAUGAGAAAACAUAAGAAACCCCACGCAACAGUUAGAGUUACAUGCUGCGCUCGGGAUGAUCGUUGUGAGAACAAUACAUAAAUAAUAUGAGGAGGAAGACUAGCAAAUCUUUGGUUCAGAGGUAUCUGAGGCUCGGUCACUGAUUCAAUACUUUGAUCUUUAUUUCUCUAUUCAAGUGAUCACAACUGCACCAUGAUUAGAUGCAUAAGGUCUGAUCUCCAGUUUUUAUUCUUCAGCAGUUGGCAGGUGUGACAGUGGUCAUGACAAUCAAGAGUUAAAUAAAAACUCUCUCCCUUCUUGUGUAUGUACAGUCCAGAUUCUCCCAGCCCUCGGUGGGAGAAAACAUAUUUUCUCUGAUCAAAAAAAUAUUAACUCUUAAAACUUUAACUUGAAAUGUACUUUAUAUUAUACUGCAUUUGCUUUAUAUUACACAUUUUGUGUACUUCAUAUUAUAACUUUAGUUUUGUUCUUCUUCUUUUUUUCAUAUUGUAACUUUGUUUUUCCAUAUUGUAAUUCUACUACUGCUGUUUCCAUCUACUCUGUACAUAGCCCACCUAUGCUGCUUUUUUAAAGGUUUUGUCCAUUUGUUCACCUUUAAAGUAUUUUAUGUGGGGUCUAAUAAUAGAAGAUGUCUUGUACAGAUUGUAAAGCACUCUGAGACUCUGUUUUUCAGCUUGGUAAAUAAAACUGACUUGACAUGA